AACGCAUCUUGCGCUCCUUGGCAUUCCGAGGAAGCACGCCUGUCUGAGUGUCAUUAAAAUUCCUCAAAUCCGCUACUCCCCCGCUGGGGGUAGGAACCUGGGUUUGGAUCGGUGGAGGCCUUGUUGCAGGCCGCUUCUCUUUGAAGCCUGCUCCUCUGAAAGGCAUCGUAAGCGAGGGCUGUGAUCGUGCAUUGUCUGUCGCUCUUGGCACGGUAAAAUUCGUUAAGAAUCUUAUGCCACGGACGCAGAAAGGGCCUGCCCCACAGCUGAACUGCGUGCCACACCUCGUGGCCGACCCUGGUGACUAUCUUGACCUCAGAUCAGGUGGGACUACCCGCUGAACUUAA
rnacentral:misc_RNA from 1 species